UCCUGGGUGGCUCAGUCGGUAAGGCAUCUGACUUCGGCUCAGGUCAUGAUCUCGCGGUUUGUGGGUUCGAAUCCCAUGUCGGGCU
rfam:Felis catus isolate Cinnamon breed Abyssinian chromosome A2, whole genome shotgun sequence.